rnacentral:lncRNA from 1 species
UCUAAUGUUGACAUGUGCAUAAUUCAUUCAACCAAUCCCUUCUCUAGUUUCCACUGAUAGACGUGUUCUUGCAGUGCCAAAGGCCUGGCGUCAGUGAGCAGGAGGAGGGUGGUGGAGAAACAAAAUGAGAAGACGAGGCUUCCGUUCCAGCAGCUCCACCCAGAGUCGCCCAUGCUGCCCACCGGAGUCUCUUCAUCUAUGAACAGGUAGAUCUCUCUGCCCUAUUUUAUCCAAGAUUUAUGAACGAAUCGCGAUAAUAGAGUUUCAAUACUAUAUCUGCACAUGUUUUGUUAAGUUGGAUGAGUAACAUGCAUGUCAUAUCAUAGAGAUCUUUUUAAUUUUUGUUACUCUUUCCAUUCAGAAUUUUAAUGACAAACUUCCCAAAGUGUUCAUCCCAGUCCAGGUGGGCUCCCAUGACAAGAUGCCAUGGACUAGGCAGCAUCAACUCCUGGAUUUAUUUUUCUUAGUUCCUGAGGUCAGAAAUCCAAGAUCCAGGGGUGGUGAGGUAGGUUUCAUCUAGAGGCCGCAUCCCUCUGUGCUCACGGGACCUCUUCUUUGUGCAGGCAGAGACGACGGAGAGCUCUCUUACAAGGGCAGUAAUCCCAUCACAGGGCCCCACCCUCAUGACCUUGUCUAACCCUAACCCUCCCAAGGCCCCCCCUCCAAACACCUUCACAUGGGGAGUUAGGGCGUCAACAUACAAAUUUGGGGCGGUGGGUGCAGGUGCACAUAUUCCAUCCAUACAAACUUGCCCAUUUAAGGACGUAUUUUCCUUGUAGAUCUUCACUGGAAAGAGGAAACUUUUUAGUAGUAAGAGGAUAAAAAUCUCUGUCAUCCCAAUUGACCCAAGGUCUUCAAAAGAACGACUCUAUUAAAGCAGGAACUCAACAUCUCCGUUUUAAUUUUCCAUAGUUCCUUACUCACACCAUCCAGCUUUAAACCCAUGUGACUCCACAAGGGUGUUCAUUCUCUUUUUUAAUUAGUUAUGUCUCCCUUAGGACAACGAAGACAUUGGUAUUAACACUUUCCAAAUGCCAUUUAUUAUCAUUCCAGAAGGACACUAUUUGCAGAACCACCCUAUAACCAGGCCAGAAUAACACAUCAUUAAUGGCUUCAGGAAAAGAAAAUGUAUCAAUUAAAGCACAAUUCUUUUAUAAAAAGAAAAUAAUUAGCCAAAAGCCCACAUGUUGGCAGAUACUGUUAUUUCACAGCAGAUUUAAUGUGGUGGCAACACAACUGAUUUUGGAAGUGAAAAUAAUCGAGGCUGCAGACACACGUGGCACUGAAAAUAGGAUUUUCUCCCGUUGGAGGGUUGAGAUGCACUGUUAACUAAAACACUGAUUUCUAUACCCAGCAACCCUGAGGCAAUCUUAACAGAGAGGAUCAGAGAAUGCUCUGUCUCCAUGGCAGCCCAGCAUCUGUGGGGCUCUGCUGUUGGUGUUAGAUGUUGUGUUGCUCGCUGAGAGGUUGCCAAGCUGUAACUGCACAACCAUGACAUAAAGCGAUUGACCUAGUACCCGUAGCUUUGAAGCUGGACAUCUAAAAUGCAGCAGCAUAGACUAAUUAAGUAUAGACUACACUGCUCCCAAAAUAGUAAGACAAUCAAUGCAGGAGAAGCAGGUCCUUCAGUUCAUGCUGUGGAGCUCGGGCUCUGAGCUGGGCACUGUGCUGGGUGCAGAGUUGGACUUGAUGUGAAGGAGAGUGGUGCACAACUGACGAUGAUGCAACUGAGAAGGCUCGGUGGAGGCUUCAUGGAAGAAACAAACGACCUGGACUUCGAAGAACAGAGAGAACUCGCCACAAAGGGAAAGUGCAGGAGAGGUACGUGAACAGCUCUAUUGAAUCGGGGUGCAGGGUGGUCAAAGGGAAGGGAGGGGUCAUCAGUUCCAAGGCAGCUAAAGCCCUGAGAAGGAUGUUGAAGGCCAGGUCGAUUCAUGGGAAGCCGGUGCUGCUUUUGAGAAGGGGACGAUACCCUCGUAAGUAGGAGAAAUACACUUUGUCUAUCGCAUCAGAUACACUCGAGACUCAGGUCGCAGGCAGGACAUUUAAGAGGUCUUUGGAAAAGUCUGGUCAGGGCUGACAGGAGCGGAGUAACGGCAUCUUCAGAGGGAACGCUGAGGAAGGCGGGCCUUGCAGGGCUUGUCGGGCCGGACUGGAGCCCUGCACGUGAAGGAGCGGGGGCAGAUGAAGGACGCUGCAGGGCCGGAGACGAGGCAGGGGCGGACAAGGACGGACACACCCGCGGCUCCCGCAGCAGCACGGUUUCUCGGCCGAGAGGCUGCGACACGGCAGGAGGGCCCUGGAGUCAGGCCCCCCGCCCCGCAGGCCCUUCCCAGCCGGCUGAGGCCCCCUUCGUGGGCGCGGAGCCCUCCUCGGGAAGAGGCUUUGACGACGCCCGUCGGCCGUCUCCGGGUUAGAAUCGUGGAACGGAAGGCAGAAGUCUGUGAAAGGCACUUGGCGCUUCAGGGCAAGAGCGUCACACAGGCGGGCACGCGCCAGGCCCCGCGCUGUGAUCCGCUGACGAGGGGGCGCGCACGAAGGCUCGGGGCCCAGCCACACGCACACCAGGACGCGCAGGCGCUGGGUGCGCACGACGGUCCGCGCGAGGACCGGAGAGGCGACCCCGCGCGGCCCUCGCGGCGGGAAAGCGGUGAGACGCACGUGCCGCGUCGAACAGGGCGCCGUCCGCAGUGGAGGCUGGAGGCCGGGGCUGUUGCGAGCGUUUUCCCUGAACGCCAGGCAUGGAAAUGGUGGCACGCGAACAAUAAGUCAGGUCGGGCCGGCAGUGGGACUGUAGUUUCCUGAUUUCUACCCUCUUCCGUUUCUGGAGAGGUCACUGGUUUUUCUUUUUUCGAUCUUCAUCAGAAAAAGUGAGCCUGAAGCCCACCCUCAGGUCAGAGCGCGGGGCUGGGGAGGAAGAAAGAGGCGCGCGCGCUCCGGGCUUCAAAGCUGGGCCUCGAUGAAGGGAAACAACGCUUAUAUUGUAUCUCACACAAUUUCAGGACUUACUGGGUUGACAGAGAAAAGCAAUUUACAUUAUAUGAGGAAGAAUUGUCUGGAAAGGAGCCCUCUGUAACAAUGACUGACAUCUAUACACUCCUUUAGCAUUUGCAGACACUCCGACGUGACUUCUCUCGGACACACGGGCUUCCCACCCUCCUCAGAACAGCCCCCGAAGUGUAGGGGCCUAGGAACGGGGCUCCAUGGACGAGCCCAGAAGAUGAACAACACCCAGCGUCCCUUUCUGAAGUGUGUCCCAGACUUCAUCUCACCUGUGCCCCUCGUGCUUCACAGGAGGAACGCGGCCGGUUUUUAUUGCUGAAGGUAGAGAUGUUGGUCUCCGUUAAGGCACGUCUGCGCACAGAGGACAAACAGCCCUGCAGGGCGUUCUGACACCCUCUCCGUUUGUAGGGAAACCAGGAAGACCACUCCUGACCAUGUCCCUAGGCCCCACGGAGCUCACCCUGGAGACUCAGCUCUUUUCUACAGGCCCCUUGGAUUCCAUUCCCAACAAAUUUCUAGGAAACAAGAAGAAUUAAGGCAAAUCUUGGUGCAACAGAGAUCAUUUAAGAGCAUAAUUAAACUAGUGUGCUUUUUUCUUUCACUUUUCUGCACUGUAUACGUGGCCUUUCCCCUAGGCAGCCAGCAAUCGUCAUUUGCCACAAGGAAGAUGAGAAUUGUCAAAAUAAAAUGCAAACUAAAGGAAGAGGCAUUAUUCAGAUUCUGACAGAAUGAGAUAUUUGCAUCUCUGCUGAGACAAUAUUUUUAAAAGCUAUGAUUGUGAGAGGAUAAAUAAAUAUGUCCUGUGAACAAGCACAUGCGUGUAUGUAUGCACACACACAUGUAUAUAUGCAUACGUUCAUUUUCUCAAUCCUGUACUCUUCUCAACAUACUAAGAAGCCCAGCCUGGAAGAGUUUAUGCAAGGUGCUGGGUAGAAGGGACUGAGGCUGUGACAAAGGAGCUGCACUGCCUCUGGGGAGGAAAGGAGGGGAGGCCUCUGAGACCCAGAAGAAGACAGUUUUAAAUAAAGAAAAGGCAGAAGUUCAAAGCCAUUGUCUUUCUUUCCAACUCCCAGGUUGGACGCUUAAGUCAGGGACGACGGAGAGUCCAGAGGAUGUGGGGCACCCACCUGACUGAGCAGAGUGGGGUCUCCUCGCUGGCCUGGCCCCCCAGCCCAGCCAGAGGGGUCCGAGCAGGUUCCUAAGUGAGCACUCAGGAAUGUGGACACAGACUCCGCAGCAUCUGGAGAUUCUGGGGUUCCCACGGAGAUCGAGCAGAGGAGGUGGGAGAAUCAGAGAAGCCAGGUUUCAGGGCAGGAGACCUCACCAUGGAGGGACCCCAGCACCCACCCUGCCAGACCCAGGCCUCCUCAACCAGCCACAGACCCAUGCUGAGCACGGUCUCGCUCAGAGAAGUGGAAGGGGAACCCAAAGGGCACGUCUUCCAGCCAAUGGUGACCUUCUAACAUCAUGUUCACCUACCAUCACCAAUCCAGACAUUAUGGAAAACUUCAAGCCAGAAGUUUCAGAUGAUGUAUCUUGUUGUUGCUGAUAAUUCUGGACUGGUUUGUAUCUGAAUCACCAUCUACGCCUCAUUAACUAGGUCUACCUGCAACAGCUCAAGGCGCAGCUGAGGAAGUGUCCUCGCAGAAGAGCCCACACGGUGGUCGUCUCUGCCAUGUUGUAUUGGCUGCAGUCGGGUCCAGUGGGAACGCUGUCGUCCGAUGGGUCAACACUGCUUUGGAUGACUCAAAGGUCGAUCACAAUACUGCUGUCAAGUGCACUUGUGAUUGUGGAGCAGUCAUUUAAAUGCCUGGUCUGCUCUGUAGUUGUUACAAAAGAAGACUAUUUCCCACUUUUGUCAGAAAUGCAAAAAUGAACAUCAGGUGAGCCACAUACUUGUUGUCUAGAUUAAAAAAAAGUAAUAGGCUUACUCAUUGUUAUUCAAUACAGGAAUAAAAAAAUACUAAAAAAGUAUUGACAGGACACUCAUCUGAGCACAGGCUUGCCAAAACCUCAGACGACAUCAGGUGCCUUUGUAGACAGCGUUUCCUGUCCUGCCGAGAAAUUUAUCUGAGAAGGUAGAGCCAGACACCCAAGUAACCUGCUUGGAGGUCUCAGGUCCCCGUCAGCAGCGAGCUGUUUGUGAUAGAGCUCAGGACCCUUCGCUCUUCUCUAUGAUUCCCAACUCCUCCUUCUGCAGCUUCCCCAUUUGUGUGAACAUCGCAUCUCCUCUCCAGUCAAGGGCACACCUCCCUCUGCCUCCAUCACCAGUUUUCCACUAAACACCUCUUGUCAUCACUGCCUUCAAGCUCCAAGCCACCAUCAUCUCUUGCGUCUGUUCCCUCACUGGCCUCCUAAAACAUGUGCCCACCCCCAUCUUGUCCUCUCCUCCAACCCUGUCUCCACCCUGAAGCCAGACAAUCUUUUUAAGCAUAAACUUGAAUGUGUCAUACCUCAGCUUAACCUCCAUCUAUGGCUUCCUAGCUGUUCUUUUGAUAAAGGCAGAAAUCCUGUGUAUGGAUUACUUUGAUUUCUCGGGGAAGUCAGAUGUGACAGGUGGCACUCAUUUGGGUGCAAUGUCAGUCACCUGAGUUUGUGCUACACUGUGGCAAUAGCAACAGUGCCAGUGACUCGGAACAACAAAGAUGUACUUGUAGUUUGUGCCACAUGCCCAUCACGGGCCGGCUGAAGCUCGGUUCCAUGCUCUCUGUACUCUGAAAGUACAGCCCGACAUGGGACAUCACGGGUUUCAAGGGAUGGGAAUAGGAAAGACGAUGGACCACAAACUGACUCUUGAAGAUCCUGUUCAGAGGUGAUUCAGGCCACAUCCAACAUCCACAGAGCAGGAGAUAGAGUCUUCCCACAGCUAGAAGCCUUGCACAAAGAACGGUGGGAGAGUCACCAUGACAUACCAUGACGCACCAUGAUAGAAUCCACCACACCUUCUAAAGAACCCCCCCAAAAAGAAAUUUCACAAUUAGGUAUGAUAUUUGUUCUAUAUUUCUGUUAGAUACUCUUUGAAAAACAUUAUUUUAGAACCUAUUCUAUUUCUGACUGAAAGUUUUUAUGAUGUAUGGGUCAUUGAAUUUUAUAAAUAUUGUUUCUGCAUCUAUUUGAGAUGAUUGUAAGAAUAUUCUCCUUUAAUCUGUUUAUUAAUGUAUGUACAUGCACUUUAUAAUGUAAUGUACACUGGUAAAAUCAGUCAAUCAAUCAAUCAAUCAAUCCUGGCUCUGUUUCAUCACCUAAAAAAUAAAAGACUGAACCUUCCAAUCCAAGAUGCUCCAAGAAGGAGGAGGAAUAAAGGCUGAAUGUACAAAAUAAUAACAUGAAAUCCAGACUGAUUAUUAGCGGGCGGUCUUGGCUUGGCGAUGAAAUGGGAGGCCAUGGGAUGCCCUACGUGGCAACAGAGUUUCUUGGUCAAGAGCUACAGGCUGCAGUUCUGCCCAAGCACCAGGUCAUGGUCGGCAUGAAGAUAGAAACUCCUGGGAAAACAGCAGAAAGUACCCAGAACAUGUUGGAUCUUCCAGAUAGGUCCCUGCGGGGUUGAGGGAAGACAGCUGGCACACACCUGUCGGCACCUGUCUGCCCCUGACUGCCUUCUCUGCACCCGUUGGCACCUGUCUGCCCUCUCUGCCCCUGUCUGUCCCUGUGCCCCUGUCUGCCCUCUCUGGGAUUAGCCCCUCACACUCGUAGGUGACAGAAUGGCAGUGAAUCACCUCGAGUCCCUUCCAACAUUAAGGCUGUAUUGAACAUGCAGAUAGUAAUAGGAAUAAAAGAGACUACAUGAGCACAUAAAUGUGCUUUAUUUGGGAAAAAUCUCAAACACAUUUUACAAUUUAGUGUCUGUUUAUUUUUAUCUUAGUAAUAUAUAAGCAUGGUCAAGAAAAAAGUCAAGUGCAG